CGAGUUGGCCGGGCGACCGCGGCGCUCAGGUGUGCCUGGGUGUCGAGGAAAGUCCGGACUUCACAGAGCAGGGUGAUUGCUAACGGCAAUCCGAGGUGACUCGCGGGAAAGUGCCACAGAAAACAGACCGCCACUUGUCCCAUCGGGGCAGGGGGUAAGGGUGAAACGGUGCGGUAAGAGCGCACCAGCAUCCCGGGUGACCGGGGUGGCUAGGCAAACCCCACCCGAAGCAAGGCCAAGAAGGCCGCAACCUGGUUGCGGCUGCGCAAGCGUUCGAGGGCUGCUCGCCCGAGCUUGCGGGUAGGCCGCUUGAGGCACCCGGCGACGGUGUGUCCAGAUGGAUGGUCGCCGCCUCACUUGGUGAGGGACAGAAUCCGGCUUACAGGCCAGCUCGUCCG
rfam:Mycobacterium cosmeticum, DSM 44829, WGS project CCBB01000000 data, contig: 000001